UACGUAGGGCGCAAGCGUUAUCCGGAAUUAUUGGGCGUAAAGAGCUCGUAGGCGGUUUGUCGCGUCUGCCGUGAAAGUCCGGGGCUCAACUCCGGAUCUGCGGUGGGUACGGGCAGACUAGAGUGAUGUAGGGGAGACUGGAAUUCCUGGUGUAGCGGUGAAAAUGCGCAGAUAUCAGGAGGAACACCGAUGGCGAAGGCAGGUCUCUGGGCAUUAACUGACA
rnacentral:rRNA from 1 species